CAGUCGUGCAAAUGGUAAUCAGCUGUUUCUUGCAGUGCAUUUGCCUUUUGCGGGUCAACAUCAGUUUUAGUUGAUGGAUAAAGAUAGAGGGAAUGUGGCACCUCCGGGUGUGUUAUAGACCUUUGUCAGACACGUCGGUUGGGAUCGGAGGACCUCAGUGCACGCUUCGGUUGUGCUUUGAUGCUGGCGUAAUGGCUUUAAACGCCCGUCUUGAAACCGGACCAAGGAGUCUAACAUAUAUGCGAGU
rnacentral:rRNA from 1 species